CCUACGGUGGGCAGCAGUGGGGAAUAUUGCACAAUGGGGGAAACCCUGAUGCAGCGACGCCGCGUGAAGGAAGAAGUAUUUCGGUAUGGAAACUUCUAUCAGCAGGGCAGACAAUGACGGUACCUGACUAAGAAGCCCCGGCUAACUACGUGCCAGCAGCCGCGGUAAUACGUAGGGGGCAAGCGUUAUCCGGAUGUACUGGGUGUAAAGGGAGCGUAGGCGGUUCAGCAAGUCAGAAGUGAAAGCCCGGGGCUCAACUCCGGGACUGCUUUUGAAACUGUUGAACGAGAUUGCAGCAGAGGUAAGUGGAAUUCCGAGGGUAGCGGUGAAAUGCGUAGAUAUUAGGAGGAACACCAGUGGCGAAGGCGGCUUACUGGACUGUAAAUGACGCUGAGGAUCGAAAGCGUGGGGAGCAAACAGGAUUAGAUACCCUGGUAGUC
rnacentral:rRNA from 1 species